rnacentral:rRNA from 1 species
CGUAGGGUGCGAGCGUUAAUCGGAAUUACUGGGCGUAAAGCGUGCGCAGGCGGUUCGCCAAGUCAGGUGUGAAACUCCCCGGGCUUAACCUGGGAAUUGCGCUUGAAACUAGCGGGCUUGAGUGUGGCAGAGGGGGUGGAAUUCCACGGUUUUUUAGCAGUGAAAUGCAUAGAGAUGUGGAGGAACACCGAUGGCGAAGGCAGCCCCCUGGGUCAACACUGACGCUCAUGCACGAAAGCGUGGGGAGCAAACAGGAUUAGAUACCCUGGUAGUCCACGCCCUAAACGAUGUAUACUAGGUGUGGGGGACAUACAACCUCCGCGCCGGAGCUAACGCAUUAAGUAUCCCGCCUGGGGAGUACGGUCGCAAGGCUG